GCUGGGGUUGGGGCUCAGUGGUAGAGUGCUCACCUAGAAUGGGUGAGGACCUGGGUUAGAUCCUCAAUCCUCAGCA
rnacentral:tRNA from 1 species